AAUAAUUAGAAGAAAAUAAAACAAAAGAAGUAUUCGAAUGAAAGAAAAAAAU
rnacentral:sRNA from 1 species